UAGACAUAAUUUGUUUGGCUGCGGGUGCACAAACACACAUAACGCUGAUUUACCAUCCACAAGCCAUCUUAUGCGAUCCAGUACAGGAAAUUAUGCAUUGUAUUAGAUUCUGCAGGUGUACCUAUUAAAAUCUCCUUAGGUAACUUGUCCAUACUGACCUUUUCUUACAGUCUGCCACCGAGAAGCAGAGCACACAUCCGCCAAGAAUACAGAGCACAGAACCUGCCCAGCCAAUGAAGAGUGCUGCUCCCAGUUCAUACCUAAAAUGGAUUAAAGAGUAGCUUUUACACCAGGUUGGCCCAGUAAGUUGCCGUGGUGAUGACCGUCCCAUCCAGCGAGGACACCUUCCAGUAGUCUGUCGGCAGGGUGGACGACACGAGGACCCAUCCCGAGGUGGCUAGUGCAAAGGCCAGAAUCUCCUGAUACAUGCUGCUCCGAAUGACUCUGCGCCGACUCCGUCGAUUGCGCCGACGAUUGAUUAAUGGUUCCCAGGCGCUUGAAAAAGUUGCCAGGAUGUGCAACGCUAAGUUGGUUAAUAUGUCAUAGAUUUUUCUAUUCCGCCACAGGGAAUUUGGACCUGAACUUCAACAUGAGGCUUUGUCAUGUGGUCCUCCGAGCCCUUGCCAACGUUUCACGCGUAUGGACGAUGUAGUUUAAGAUUAAAAGAAGAGGUUUUGGAUGUUCAGACUGACUCUGAGUAUCAAGUAACCACUGAGAAUCUUGUGUUGCAAAUUAGAUUGUUUCCGUAAUUCUUAGAACCGUUACAAAUUAGUCAAGCUUUAGUAAAGAUUUGUACUCAGAACCUCUCAACGGCGAGGGCGACAUGCUUAUCACCUAGCUGCUCUUAUACGAUUAUUCCUUUUGAGUUGAUAUUAUUAAACCUUGAAUAUCUUCUCUGGUAUAUUAUACAGUAAAAUCUGGAGCGGAUUUGUCAAGCUCAAACCCAAACAUAUGGUGCAAGGACGCAUGAAUGUUUCACCAGCUUCCUUUUGCUGAUGUUUAAAUAAACAACUGUUCUCACAA